rnacentral:rRNA from 1 species
GGGUGAGUAAUGCGUAGGAAUCUACCUAGUAGUACGGAAUAGCCAUUAGAAAUGGUGGGUAAUACUGUAUAAUCCCCGAGGGGGAAAGAUUUAUCGCUAUUAGAUGAGCCUACGUUAGAUUAGCUAGUUGGUGAGGUAAUGGCUUACCAAGGCUAUGAUCUAUAGCUGGUCUGAGAGGACGAUCAGCCACACUGGAACUGAGAUACGGUCCAGACUCCUACGGGAGGCAGCAGUGGGGAAUAUUGGACAAUGGGCGAAAGCCUGAUCCAGCUAUGCCGCGUGAGUGAAGAAGGCCUUCGGGUUGUAAAACUCUUUC